UCAGAUGAACGCUGGCGGCAGGCUUAACACAUGCAAGUCGAGCGGAUGAAGGUAGCUUGCUACCGGAUUCAGCGGCGGACGGGUGAGUAAUGCUUAGGAAUCUGCCUAUUAGUGGGGGACAACGUUCCGAAAGGAGCGCUAAUACCGCAUACGUCUACGGGAGAAAGCAGGGGACCUUUGGGCCUUGCGCUAAUAGAUGAGCCUAAGUCGGAUUAGCUAGUUGGUAGGGUAAAGGCCUACCAAGGCGACGAUCUGUAGCGGGUCUGAGAGGAUGAUCCGCCACACUGGGACUGAGACACGGCCCAGACUCCUACGGGAGGCAGCAGUGGGGAAUAUUGGACAAUGGGGGGAACCCUGAUCCAGCCAUGCCGCGUGUGUGAAGAAGGCCUUUUGGUUGUAAAGCACUUUAAGCGAGGAGGAGGCUACCUAGAUUAAUACUUUAGGAUAGUGGACGUUACUCGCAGAAUAAGCACCGGCUAACUCUGUGCCAGCAGCCGCGGUAAUACAGAGGGUGCGAGCGUUAAUCGGAUUUACUGGGCGUAAAGCGUGCGUAGGCGGCCAAUUAAGUCAAAUGUGAAAUCCCCGAGCUUAACUUGGGAAUUGCAUUCGAUACUGGUUGGCUAGAGUAUGGGAGAGGAUGGUAGAAUUCCAGGUGUAGCGGUGAAAUGCGUAGAGAUCUGGAGGAAUACCGAUGGCGAAGGCAGCCAUCUGGCCUAAUACUGACGCUGAGGUACGAAAGCAUGGGGAGCAAACAGGAUUAGAUACCCUGGUAGUCCAUGCCGUAAACGAUGUCUACUAGCCGUUGGGGCCCUUGAGGCUUUAGUGGCGCAGCUAACGCGAUAAGUAGACCGCCUGGGGAGUACGGUCGCAAGACUAAAACUCAAAUGAAUUGACGGGGGCCCGCACAAGCGGUGGAGCAUGUGGUUUAAUUCGAUGCAACGCGAAGAACCUUACCUGGCCUUGACAUACAGAGAACUUUCCAGAGAUGGAUUGGUGCCUUCGGGAACUCUGAUACAGGUGCUG
rnacentral:rRNA from 1 species